CACAACCCCUUUUCAGAUCCAUUUUUUGGUCUUUGUAUGAAGAGAAAAGACAAGGGGGGCUAGGGUAUGGCUUAUACAGCAGAGGAAUUUCAUUCCGGGAACCCGUCUAUGAGACGGCUAUGGGUAUAGACAGACAUACCCGAAAGACCAUUCCUUCACCACUUCAAAGAAUAGACGGAGACGAGACGUACGAUUGCAAUCAUGUUUAUG
rnacentral:lncRNA from 1 species